rnacentral:rRNA from 1 species
UACGUAGGGUGCGAGCGUUGUCCGGAAUUAUUGGGCGUAAAGAGCUCGUAGGCGGUUUGUCGCGUCGGCCGUGAAAACUUGGGGCUUAACCCCAAGCCUGCGGUCGAUACGGGCAGACUUGAGUUCGGCAGGGGAGACUGGAAUUCCUGGGGUAGCGGUGAAAUGCGCAGAUAUCAGGAGGAACACCGGUGGCGAAGGCGGGUCUCUGGGCCGAUACUGACGCUGAGGAGCGAAAGCGUGGGGAGCGAACAGG